UACGAAGGGGGCUAGCGUUGUUCGGAAUUACUGGGCGUAAAGCGCACGUAGGCGGAUAUUUAAGUCAGGGGUGAAAUCCCAGAGCUCAACUCUGGAACUGCCUUUGAUACUGGGUAUCUUGAGUAUGGAAGAGGUAAGUGGAAUUGCGAGUGUAGAGGUGAAAUUCGUAGAUAUUCGCAGGAACACCAGUGGCGAAGGCGGCUUACUGGUCCUAACUGACGCUGAGGUGCGAAAGCGUGGGGAGCAACAGG
rnacentral:rRNA from 1 species